AACGAACGCUGGCGGCAUGCCUAACACAUGCAAGUCGAACGAGACCUUCGGGUCUAGUGGCGCACGGGUGCGUAACGCGUGGGAACCUGCCCUUAGGUUCGGAAUAACUCCCCGAAAGGGGUGCUAAUACCGGAUAAUGUCUUCGGACCAAAGAUUUAUCGCCUUUGGAUGGGCCCGCGUUGGAUUAGCUAGUUGGUAGGGUAAAAGCCUACCAAGGCGACGAUCCAUAGCUGGUCUGAGAGGAUGAUCAGCCACACUGGGACUGAGACACGGCCCAGACUCCUACGGGAGGCAGCAGUGGGGAAUAUUGGACAAGGGGCGAAAGCCAGAUCCAGCAAUGCCGCGUGAGUGAUGAAGGCCUUAGGGUUGUAAAGCUCUUUUACCCGGGAUGAUAAUGACAGUACCGGGAGAAUAAGCGCCGGCUAACUCCGUG
rnacentral:rRNA from 1 species